CCUAACACAUGCAAGUCGAACGGUAACAGGAAGAAGCUUGCUUCUUUGCUGACGAGUGGCGGACGGGUGAGUAAUGUCUGGGAAACUGCCUGAUGGAGGGGGAUAACUACUGGAAACGGUAGCUAAUACCGCAUAACGUCGCAAGACCAAAGAGGGGGACCUUCGGGCCUCUUGCCAUCAGAUGUGCCCAGAUGGGAUUAGCUAGUAGGUGGGGUAACGGCUCACCUAGGCGACGAUCCCUAGCUGGUCUGAGAGGAUGACCAGCCACACUGGAACUGAGACACGGUCCAGACUCCUACGGGAGGCAGCAGUGGGGAAUAUUGCACAAUGGGCGCAAGCCUGAUGCAGCCAUGCCGCGUGUAUGAAGAAGGCCUUCGGGUUGUAAAGACUU
rnacentral:rRNA from 1 species